rnacentral:lncRNA from 1 species
CUAGGAGGCAGUGUUACAGUUACGAUGGUGUUCAUUGGGUUGAAACAAACCUUUUUGACAGAAUGUUUGAUGCUGAAAUCCGAUGGAUUCCUUUUUUCAGGUCGCACAGAUGGACUCCCCUCCUUCCUAGUGCACAUAGAGCUCCCAAGUAUCAGGAAUUGCACCACCAGCCCGCGGGAGACCAAAGUGACCAGCCUGUCAGCGCCGGCAUUGACACGCACACACAGCCAGUUGCCAUGGCAACCAGUACCUAGCAUGAAAGCUGUGAUGAGAGGUGGAGCAUGGCACCAUCCUGGAGAGCAACCGCUACGUUGUUUGUGUGUGUUUGUGCACGUGAAGGUGAUGCAGUUCUGUGUGCUGUUCAUGCGUGUUCUUGCGUUGACCCAUAAUGAGACGAGGGGAGUGGGGGGAUGGCAACAUUAAUGGCUAAAAACACGAAAUGAUAACAUGUUGUGUUCAUCAAAUUUGACAAAAAUCUGAUGUUCUGUCAGCUGAAAGAAACAUUUUCAUCCAUGUGUGAGUUUCCACAUUGAAAUGAGGAUCUUUGACCAAAGCUUUGGAGUCAUAUUUGGGUUUAGGGCAGAUAGUUUGCACUAAAUAGAAACCUGCUAAACUAACAUCUUCUGCUAAAUCCAGAUACGGUUAUGAUGAUGAGGAGGAAGAGAAAGGCAGCAAUCAGUUCUCCCAGUAAACAAGCUGACAAAGGC